AGUGAACGCUGGCGGUAGGCCUAACACAUGCAAGUCGAACGGCAGCACAGUAAGAGCUUGCUCUUACGGGUGGCGAGUGGCGGACGGGUGAGGAAUACAUCGGAAUCUACUUUUUCGUGGGGGAUAACGUAGGGAAACUUACGCUAAUACCGCAUACGACCUACGGGUGAAAGCAGGGGAUCUUCGGACCUUGCGCGUUUGAAUGAGCCGAUGUCGGAUUAGCUAGUUGGCGGGGUAAAGGCCCACCAAGGCGACGAUCCGUAGCUGGUCUGAGAGGAUGAUCAGCCACACUGGAACUGAGACACGGUCCAGACUCCUACGGGAGGCAGCAGUGGGGAAUAUUGGGCAAUGGGCGCAAGCCUGAUCCAGCCAUACCGCGUGGGUGAAGAAGGCCUUCGGGUUGUAAAGCCCUUUUGUUGGGAAAGAAAAGCAGCAGGUUAAUACCCCGCUGUUCUGACGGUACCCAAAGAAUAAGCACCGGCUAACUUCGUG
rnacentral:rRNA from 1 species